CUCCUCGUCGUCCGACACCAAGGUCAGGUCAGCGGGGUAAGAGAAGGGAUGUGUCGACACCGGCCUCAGCAUAGUGAAAGCCAUCAUGGAUUAUGGAAACACACUCAGCCCCUGCAUUGGCUCCUGUCCUCAGAUGGCCAAUAUGAUCAGUGGCUCUGCAGUUGCCCUGUGUCAGUUUGUCUAAUGGGUUAAGUGCUGUGGGUAAAUAAACACUCAGCAGAUGCUGGAGGUGAUCAAGCCUGAACUCUCUCUGUGGAAACCGAGCAAAUGGCUUCCAGAUUGACUGGUGCUGUUGGAGGGAGGGUGGGACCGACUGCUGGAGAGCAGAGAGAGUGUCAUCAAAGGGCCUGUUUUUACAAACACAACCCUUCGACACAUCAAACCGGGGCACCAGUGGCCCCUGGCCUCUGGCUCAGCUGCACCAACAACAGCGACCUGUGCGGAACCUGGUUCCACUCAUAAAGCAGGACACCAUGGUGUUUUACCACGCUCUGCCAGCCAGCAACACGACCCUACUGCACUCUCUCUUCCCCAGCACCACCACUGCUUCACAGUUUGGAACCGUAAAUACUUAACCCGCCGCCCCCCACACACCCCCAAUCCCUCAGCCCUCUGCAUCAACUUAGAGGAAUGCCAUUAAAAGCCUGUUGAGGUGAUUAAAGUACUAAUGAAGUGUGUGGUGGGUGGGAUGUGUGUGUCAGGGAAGAUGUGAGAAUGGCAGUCAAUAAAAAUGUCUUAUUAUAAGGUUUGACUAAAUGUAGGUUUUUGAAGCUGAUACCAAUAUCAUGAAGAUGAAGCUGCAAACACAUCUCUAAUGGCCUAACUGUAUGGGACACCAGGUCCUUAAGGGGGCAGGUCAUCACUUGUUAAUUGUUCAGUGUGUUCAGUGGAUGACUCUUUUCUAAAGCAUAGACCUGGAGAACUAAACCUUCAGUCAGUUAUGGCACCGGGAUGUAGUCAAGUCAAGUCCAUUUUUAUUUUCAUAUUCCAAUAUCACAAAUCACAAAUUUUCCUAAUGUAAAAUCUAUGAAUAAUUGAUGGCAGUCCUAUGAGGUUAAAAGCUGUACUGGUCAAUAUUGUUUAUAUUAAAGAUCCCCUCCAGACAUGUUUUAAGAUAUACAGUAUAAAAAUAUUUUUCUUUGUGAAUGUAAUGUGAAAGUUCAGUUACCUUAUUAAAACUCAUUAAAGAAAGAGCAAAAUCUGA